UACGUAGGGGGCAAGCGUUGUCCGGAUUUAUUGGGCGUAAAGAGCGUGUAGGCGGCCAGAUAGGUCAGCUGUGAAAACUCGAGGCUCAACCUCGAGAUGUCGGCUGAAACCAUCUGGCUAGAGUCCGGAAGAGGAGAAUGGAAUUCCUGGUGUAGCGGUGAAAUGCGCAGAUAUCAGGAAGAACACCCGUGGCUAAGGCGGUUCUCUAGUACGGUACUGACGCUGAGACGCGAAAGCGUGGGGAGCGAACAGG
rnacentral:rRNA from 1 species